AGCUUUUUCGGCGUCAAGGUCUUUUGAUACCGGAAGUUGUAAAACAUUCAACUCAGUCGACUUGACAUCCUCAGUUGCCAUAAAUUGUAAAGCUGCCAUAUUUGAAUAAAGUUUGUGUUAAUUAUUUUGAUAUCUAAAAAUAGUCUCUUUUGAUAAUUGGGGUUGAAGUAGGGGGAGAAAGUAGUGAGAGAAAAAUUCGAACAUUUAUAUAAAAUAAACUUAUACUAACCAGAUGCAUAAAGCAAGAAGGCUAGAACCAAACAAAACAUCGUUGGAAAACGCUUUCCACCCAUUAUGAUCAAUGAAGACAAACUACGAUUAUGAAAAAGAAGUUGCAACAAUUGUAUUGCCUUCGUGAUAAAUUUAUAGGGAGAGUAACAAGUUUUUCUUUCCGUGUUGUCAGGUGUGGCAAAACGGUUAAAAUAAAAUAGUUAACCACCCAUAUUAUUCACUAAAAAUAAGUUGGAUAAUGAACUUUCUAAAAAUGGGUCAAAUAUGGAUAAGAACCAUAUUAUCCAUUUAUAAAAUAGAUAACCAAUGGGUCUAACUUUUACAUUUGCAAAGCCUCAACUUUGGGGUUCUUCAAGUUAGGGAGAUUAAGAAUUCUCCCAAAAGUGAUCAUAUGCAAGAAGUCAUGGAUAAUAUGGUUAUCCAUAUUAUCCGCCGAUUAACCCAUUUUUUUAUCCGUUUUAUAUAUGGGUCGGGUUGGAUAAUUUAUCCAUUUUUUCAUUAUCCGUUUUCGACCCGAAUCAUAUCCGCCCCGCCCCGCCCCUUUGGUCCUCCUACUGGUUGUGUAAAAGGGAGUGGUUAAUUGAAUCUUAGAAAAAUAACAUUAGUAUUAUUAAAUACAAAUUAUUGGAUUUAAUUGAGCAAGAUAAAAGUGACAUUUCAACUAACAUUUACAAAUUAUUGGUUGUACAAAACUUGAUGGAAAAUGACAUUCCUGUGCAAAAUACAAAUAUUAGGCAUCUUAUAUCAUCUACAACGUUUUACAUGUUGGUUUUUUUUUAUUUUUUUAUAUUAUUAUAAUGUGAAUAAUUUCUUCAUUAAUAUGUCAUUUUUUUAAAAUUUUGCAAGAAAAUUUUAAUAAUACUGGAUGAUAGUUAUAGAAAGUAAAAAAUAAUAUUAUACUUAAAGAUCCUCUUACUAACGCAAUAGUACUUAAAUUUAAGUAUUUAUAAUAUACACUAAAUGUCUAAAAAGUAAGAAAGUAUGUUGCACUGAAAAGGCCAACACAUAUGUCACGACCCAAAAUCAUACCUAGUUGUUAUGACACCUAACUGCGAGAUGCUAUGUAAGCCAACCAACAAAAAGAGAAACUUGAAGGAAAGAUCAUCAAUAAACCAUAAAUAAGAUGCAGAAAAUCUAUACAACUAUCUCAAGAACUAGUAGUACAAGUCAUAAGCGACUAAAAACAAGAUUAAGAGUGCAACUCUAAUAUAAAGAGAGAUUACAUCAUCUGUUUGAAAUUCACAUAAACAAAAAUAUAAGACAUAAAAUACCAUGAACAAGUGGCAGCUUGUAUCCGGAACACUUGUACCUCAUCAAUGCUAGCCUUCAUCAUCAUAACAGAUCAACUCCGAAAUCUACAGGCAAGAUGACCCGUGACCUUGCACAUACAAAUCUCGAUCCCACGCAACUCACCACAUCUAUCAUGCCAUCAUAUGAAAAGUACGAGAAUCUCAUAAUCCACUCCAAGUCAAAAGCAAACUACAUACUUAAUUAGCCAGGAACCUUCCAUUUGAUCUCCUCCAGGAGAAAAUCAUAAUCUGCAAUAUGCUGCUCACACCAGUAGGAAAUAUCCACCUCGAACCAUGAUA
rnacentral:lncRNA from 1 species